rnacentral:ncRNA from 3 species
CGACACCGUGCGGGAGAGCCCCUGGCCCGGCAGUGGCCGGGGCGCCGAAGGAGCAAGUCCUCCCUUGAAUCUCUCAGGCCCCGAUACCGCACGGUCUAG